rnacentral:rRNA from 1 species
GAUGAACGCUGACAGAAUGCUUAACACAUGCAAGUCUACUUGAUUCUACUUCGGUAGUUGAUGGUGGCGGACGGGUGAGUAACGCGUAAAGAAUCUGCCCUUUAGUUUGGGAUAACCUUUGGAAACGAAGGCUAAUACCGGAUAUUAUGGAGACGUCGCAUGGCGACUCCAUGAAAGCUAUAUGCGCUAGAGGAGGACUUUGCGUCCCAUUAGUUAGUUGGUGAGGUAAUGGCUCACCAAGACCGCGAUGAGUAGCCGGCCUGAGAGGGUGAUCGGCCACAAGGGAACUGAGACACGGUCCUUACUCCUACGGGAGGCAGCAGUUGGGAAUAUUGGACAAUGGGCCACAAGCCUGAUCCAGCAAUUCUGUGUGCACGAUGAAGGUCUUCGGAUUGUAAAGUGCUUUCAGUAGGGAAGAAAAAAAUGACGGUACCUACAGAAGAAGCGACGGCUAAAUAUGUGCCAGCAGCCGCAGUAA